UACGUAGGGUCCGAGCGUUGUCCGGAAUUAUUGGGCGUAGAGAGCUCGUAGGCGGUCUGUCGCGUCGGCUGUGAAAACACGGGGCUCAACUCCGUGCCUGCAGUCGAUACGGGCAGACUAGAGUUCGGUAGGGGAGACUGGAAUUCCUGGUGUAGCGGUGAAAUGCGCAGAUAUCAGGAGGAACACCGAUGGCGAAGGCAGGUCUCUGGGCCGAUACUGACGCUGAGGAGCGAAAGCGUGGGGAGCGAACAGG
rnacentral:rRNA from 1 species